rnacentral:rRNA from 1 species
AGUGAACGCUGGCGGUAGGCCUAACACAUGCAAGUCGAACGGCAGCACAGUAAGAGCUUGCUCUUACGGGUGGCGAGUGGCGGACGGGUGAGGAAUACAUCGGAAUCUACUUUUUCGUGGGGGAUAACGUAGGGAAACUUACGCUAAUACCGCAUACGACCUACGGGUGAAAGCAGGGGAUCUUCGGACCUUGCGCGAUUGAAUGAGCCGAUGUCGGAUUAGCUAGUUGGCGGGGUAAGGGCCCACCAAGGCGACGAUCCGUAGCUGGUCUGAGGGGAUGAUCAGCCACACUGGAACUGAGACACGGUCCAGACUCCUACGGGAGGCAGCAGUGGGGAAUAUUGGACAAUGGGCGCAAGCCUGAUCCAGCCAUACCGCGUGGGUGAAGAAGGCCUUCGGGUUGUAAAGCCCUUUUGUUGGGAAAGAAAAGCAGCAGGUUAAUACCACGCUGUUCUGACGGUACCCAAAGAAUAAGCACCGGCUAACUUCGUG